CUUCUGAUCACCUCAGUUGUUGCUUUUGUGAGCAUUUCAUGGGAAAGCAACAAGAGGGCAGGUCUGAAACCC
rnacentral:pre_miRNA from 1 species